UUUGCAUAUCAAAAGCGGAGGAAAAGAAACCAACUGGGAUUACCUUAGUAACGGCGAGUGAAGCGGUAAAAUUGCAUAUCAAUAAUCGGAGGAAAAGAAACCAACAGGGAUUGCCUCAGUAACGGCGAGUGAAGCGGCAAAAGCUCAAAUUUGAAAUCCCCCGGGAAUUGUAAUUGGAAGAGAUUUGGUUCCGGCCGGCGGGGUUUAAUUCCACUGGAAAGUGGCGCCACAGAGGGUGACAGCCCCGUGAACCCCUUCAAGGCCUUCAUCCCAGAUCUCCAAGAGUCGAGUUGUUUGGGAAUGCAGCUCUAAGUGGGUGGUAAAUUCCAUCUAAAGCUAAAUACCGGCGAGAGACCGAUAGCGAACAAGUACAGUGAUGGAAAGAUGAAAAGCACUUUGAAAAGAGAGUGAAAAAGUACGUGAAAUUGUUGAAAGGGAAGGGCUUGCAAGCAGACAUUUAACUGGGCCAGCAUCGGGGCGGCGGGAAACAAAACCACCGGGGAAUGUACCUGCGAGGAUUAUAACCCCGGUCUCCAUUUCCAUGUCUGCCCCGAGGCCUGCAAUCUAAGGAUGCUGGCGUAAUGGUUGCAGUCGCCCGUUUGAAAACGGACCAACAGGAUUGAGGACUGCGCUUCGGCAAGGAUGUUGGCAUAAUGGUUAAAUGCCGCCCGUCUU
rnacentral:rRNA from 2 species